CACGUAGGGUGCGAGCGUUGUCCGGAAUUAUUGGGCGUAAAGAGCUCGUAGGCGGUGUGUCGCGUCGGCCGUGAAAACCUGCAGCUUAACUGUGGGCUUGCGGUCGAUACGGGCAUCACUGGAGUUCGGCAGGGGAGACUGGAAUUCCUGGUGUAGCGGUGAAAUGCGCAGAUAUCAGGAGGAACACCGGUGGCGAAGGCGGUGGUCUGGGCCGGUACUGACGCUGAGACGCGAAGCGUGGGGAGCGAACAGG
rnacentral:rRNA from 1 species